AGCGAACGCUGGCGGCAGGCCUAACACAUGCAAGUCGAACGAACUCUUCGGAGUUAGUGGCGGAUGGGUGAGUAACACGUGGGAACGUGCCUUUUGGUUUGGAAUAACUCAGGGAAACUUGUGCUAAUACCGAAUGUGCCCUUCGGGGGGAAGAUUUAUCGCCAUUAGAGCGGCCCGCGUCUGAUUAGCUAGUUGGUGAGGUAACGGCUCACCAAGGCGACGAUCAGUAGCUGGUUUGAGAGGAUGACCAGCCACACUGGGACUGAGACACGGCCCAGAAUCCUACGGGAGGCAGCAGUGGGGAAUCUUGCGAAAUGGGCGAAAGCCUGACGCAGCCAUGCCGCGUGAAUGAUGAAGGUCUUAGGAUUGUAAAAUUCUUUCACCGGGGACGAUAAUGACGGUACCCGGAGAAGAAGCCCCGGCUAACUUCGUG
rnacentral:rRNA from 1 species